GCUGGGCGUGGUGGCGCAUGCCUAUAAUCCCAGCUACUCGGGAGGCUGAGGCAGUAGAAUCACUUGAACCCGGCGGGGCAGAGGUUGCAGUGGGCCCAGAUUAGGCCACUGCAGUCCAGGCUGGGUGACAGGGUGAGACUCUAUCUCAA
rnacentral:SRP_RNA from 1 species